GGGGGCUCAGGCUGCGGUAGGGUGCCGCAGCGCCUGCCAGGCGCCGUAGCCGCCGAGCAGGUCGGCGACGUCGGUACGGCCGGCGGCCCGCA
rnacentral:tRNA from 1 species